rnacentral:rRNA from 1 species
GACGAACGCUGGCGGCGUGCUUAACACAUGCAAGUCGAGCGGUAAGGCCCUUCGGGGUACACGAGCGGCGAACGGGUGAGUAACACGUGGGUGACCUGCCCCCUACUCUGGGAUAAGCCUGGGAAACUGGGUCUAAUACUGGAUAUGACUUCAUGCUGCAUGGUGUGGGGUGGAAAGUUUUUCGGUGGGGGAUGGGCCCGCGGCCUAUCAGCUUGGUUGGUGGGGUGAUGGCCUACCAAGGCGACGACGGUAGCCUGCCUGAGAGGGCGACCGGCCACACUGGGACUGAGACACGGCCCAGACUCCUACGGGAGGCAGCAGGUGGGAAUAUUGCGCAAUGGGCGGAAGCCUGACGCAGCGACG